rnacentral:rRNA from 1 species
UACGUAGGGUGCAAGCGUUGUCCGGAAUUAUUGGGCGUAAAGAGCUCGUAGGCGGUUCCGUCAGUCGGGUGUGAAACUCUGGGCUCAACCCAGAGACGCCACCCGAUACUGCGGUGACUAGAGUCCGGUAGGGGAGUGCGGGAAUUCCUGGUGUAGCGGUGAAAUGCGCAGAUAUCAGGAGGAACACCAACGGCGAAGGCAGCACUCUGGGCCGGUACUGACGCUGAGGAGCGAAAGCGUGGGGAGCGAACAGG